UGACAAACAAAGAUCUAGCUCGAGUUUGUUCAGUUUUGUAAACAAAAGACCAAUCGACGUGUGUCAGAGCAUCAAAAUAGAAGUAAUCUUGGAUGAAAAUGCCUCCAUGCAGUCUUUGAUAUUUAUUUGGAAUGGGAAUUGCCCGAGACAAAGAAGAAAAUGAACCUCCAGCCACACAAGAAAUGGACAAAACAGGAAGUAAAGGAAGUCGGGGAAUAUUUUGCAGAUCGCUAUAAAUCAAAAACUCUCCCUGGAAUGAAGGUAUGCCUAUUACUUAUAGAGAGUAACAAAAAAGCUGGAGGAAUACUUCGGAAAAGAAAAUGGAACUUGGAGAUCAUCAACAAAAACAUCCAUCUAAAAUGACCUGAAAAAUUGAAAUAAUUGAUUUGACAAGCAGUGUAUUUUGAAGUAAAUGUAACUUUGAUAAUAUUGUCCUGUUAUAUGAACUUUCACGUAUUACAUGCCCAUGUAUUGAACAUUGAAAGAAACAGAGUAUCUUGCUAGAGUGUUUGUAAAACAAAUCUGGGUCACAUUUUAACCAAAUGACUGUGCCAUAAUGUGGAUACGAGAAUUUCUUAAUUAAUUUUAGGGUGUGUAUCAUGUUUUUAUUAUACGUGAAUAUAAAGUAAAACAACUGCUUGUGCAUUCAUUUCAAAAUAGAACUUUUAAACAUUAACUGUAUUUGUGUCUGUGUGAUGAGAAUUAUGACAGUUUAAAAAUCUGAGAUCUUUUUACAUGCCUUUACUUUGGUCUUGAUUAAAGAUUUGUAUGUAUGUUUUUUCAAUUUAAUAUUAUAGUAUGUGCUUUGUUAGAAAUUUCAAAGUUGAUGAUAUUAUGCAAAUGUUUUGACCAUGUUGAGAUUUUCAAAGUUUAUGUUCAUAAAUUCUUGUUUGAAAA